CCCUUAUGCUACUGUAAAUCACUCUGGAUAAGAGCGUCUGCUAAAUGACUAAAA
rfam:Salmo salar isolate Sally breed double haploid chromosome ssa16, whole genome shotgun sequence.